rnacentral:rRNA from 1 species
UACGGGGGGGGGGCAAGCGUUGUUCGGAAUUACUGGGCGUAAAGGGCUCGUAGGCGGUCUGUUGCGUCAGGAGUGAAAAACUCGGGGGCUUAACCCCCGAGCCUGCUUCUGAUACGGGGCAGACUAGAGGUAUGCAGGGGGAGAACGGAAUUCCUGGUGUAGCGGUGAAAAUGCGCAGAUAUCAGGAGGAACACCGGUGGCGAAGGGCGGGGUCUCUGGGGCCCGAUACUGACGCUGAGGAGCGAAAGCAUGGGGAGCGAACAGG